CCAGGCUGCUUUAAAGGAGCACAGAAUGUCGAAAUGAGAAGCUGCUGACUGAACAAGUCAAAGGGUUCCACUUUCCACCUGUGCCGAGACCCUGUGCUCUCCAGGAAACAAUCUCUCGGCUGUGAAUAAAGACAGGCUGGUGUGGACGUCCCUCAAUGCAGGCAGCUGCCUAUAAACAGAUCGCCCUCCGAAUCCAGAGACCCCAUGUUACCCCGACCUGUGGGAGCAAAGUCUGUGUAAAAAUGCUGCCAACAAGAAGUCUCAGGUCCCAUGAAUUAUAGACAGGUGGCUUGAGUACCAAGUAAAGAGUUAGAUGCCUUUGGAGCAUCCUUUCAGAUCAAAGAUCCUGUAAUCCUGAGGAUUCAAAGGAGCAUAGCUUACUUUCCAAACUUAGCCUGUCCUUCAGAGCGUGGUCCAAACGCCUCGUCUUCCUGUGAGGAUCCCUGAUCCAUCCCAGGUGGGAGAGACUCUUCUCCCCUCUGAAAGCUCAUAACACUUUGUCCCUUUAAAGAAAAAAAUAAAGCAUCUGCACCUUUCCUCAGUGGCACUAA